CGUUCUUUGGCCAAAUUGAUAAGGUAUCGCUGAUCACAGGCGAGGAUGCGGGUUCGAGUCCCGCUGGAACGG
rnacentral:tRNA from 1 species